rnacentral:rRNA from 1 species
GAUGAACGCUGACAGAAUGCUUAACACAUGCAAGUCAACUUGAAUUUGGGUUUUUAACUUAGGUUUGGGUGGCGGACGGGUGAGUAACGCGUAAAGAACUUGCCUCACAGCUAGGGACAACAUUUGGAAACGAAUGCUAAUACCUAAUAUUAUGAUAAUAGGGCAUCCUAUAAUUAUGAAAGCUAUAAGCGCUGUGAGAGAGCUUUGCGUCCCAUUAGCUAGUUGGAGAGGUAACGGCUCACCAAGUCGAUGAUGGGUAGCCGGCCUGAGAGGGUGAUCGGCCACAAGGGGAAUGAGACACGGCCCUUACUCCUACGGGAGGCAGCAGUGGGGAAUAUUGGACAAUGGACCGAGAGUCUGAUCCAGAAAUUCUGUGUGCACGAUGAAGUUUUUCGGAAUGUAAAGUGCUUUCAGUUGGGAAGAAACAAAUGACGGUACCAACAGAAGAAGUGACGGCUAAAUACGUG